AGUGAACGCUGGCGGUAGGCCUAACACAUGCAAGUCGAACGGCAGCACAGUAAGAGCUUGCUCUUACGGGUGGCGAGUGGCGGACGGGUGAGGAAUACAUCGGAAUCUACUUUUUCGUGGGGGAUAACGUAGGGAAACUUACGCUAAUACCGCAUACGACCUACGGGUGAAAGCAGGGGAUCUUCGGACCUUGCGCGAUUGAAUGAGCCGAUGUCGGAUUAGCUAGUUGGCGGGGUAAAGGCCCACCAAGGCGACGAUCCGUAGCUGGUCUGAGAGGAUGGUCGGCCACACUGGAACUGAGACACGGUCCAGACUCCUACGGGAGGCAGCAGUGGGGAAUAUUGGACAAUAGGCGCAAGCCUGAUCCAGCCAUACCGCGUGGGUGAAGAAGGCCUUCGGGUUGUAAAGCCCUUUUGUUGGGAAAGAAAAGCAGCAGGUUAAUACCCCGCUGUUCUGACGGUACCCAAAGAAUAAGCACCGGCUAACUUCGUG
rnacentral:rRNA from 1 species